rnacentral:tRNA from 1 species
UCCCUGUUAGCCUAAUGGUUAAAGGCUCCAGCAUUGUCACUGCUGUGGUGAGGGUUCGAUCCCUGGCCUGGGAA